rnacentral:rRNA from 1 species
CAGCCGCCACGGGAACACGAAGGGGGCUAGCGUUGUUCGGAUUUACUGGGCGUAAAGCGCACGUAGGCGGAUCGAUCAGUCAGGGGUGAAAUCCCAGAGCUCAACUCUGGAACUGCCUUUGAUACUGUCGAUCUGGAGUAUGGAAGAGGUGAGUGGAAUUCCGAGUGUAGAGGUGAAAUUCGUAGAUAUUCGGAGGAACACCAGUGGCGAAGGCGGCUCACUGGUCCAUUACUGACGCUGAGGUGCGAAAGCGUGGGGAGCAAACAGGAUUAGAUACCCCUGUAGUCCCUGUCUCUUAUAC